rnacentral:rRNA from 1 species
CAGCAGCCGCGGGAACACGAAGGGUGCAAGCGUUACUCGGAAUUACUGGGCGUAAAGCGUGCGUAGGUGGCGUGUUAAGUCGAAUGUGAAAGCCCCGGGCUCAACCUGGGAAUGGCAUCCGAUACUGGCAGGCUAGAGUUCGAUAGAGGGUAGUGGAAUUCCAGGUGUAGCGGUGAAAUGCGUAGAGAUCUGGAGGAACAUCAGUGGCGAAGGCGGCUACCUGGAUCAGAACUGACACUGAGGCACGAAAGCGUGGGGAGCAAACAGGAUUAGAUACCCCCGUAGUCCCUGUCUCUUAUAC